GAUGAACGCUAGCGGCAGGCUUAACACAUGCAAGUCGAGGGGUAGGUUACUUCGGUAAUUGAGACCGGCGCACGGGUGCGUAACGCGUAUACAAUCUACCUUUUACAGAGGGAUAGCCCAGAGAAAUUUGGAUUAAUACCUCAUAGUAUUUUUGAAUCGCAUGAUUUGAUUAUUAAAGUUCCAACGGUAAAAGAUGAGUAUGCGUCCCAUUAGCUAGAUGGUAAGGUAACGGCUUACCAUGGCUACGAUGGGUAGGGGUCCUGAGAGGGAGAUCCCCCCACACUGGUACUGAGACACGGACCAGACUCCUACGGGAGGCAGCAGUGAGGAAUAUUGGACAAUGGGCGCAAGCCUGAUCCAGCCAUGCCGCGUGCAGGAAGAAGGUCCUAUGGAUUGUAAACUGCUUUUAUACAAGAAGAAACACUCCCUCGUGAGGGAACUUGACGGUACUGUAUGAAUAAGGACCGGCUAACUCCGU
rnacentral:rRNA from 1 species